rnacentral:rRNA from 1 species
UACGUAGGGAGCAAGCGUUGUCCGGAAUCAUUGGGCGUAAAGCGCGCGUAGGUGGCUUCGUAAGUCCGUUGUGAAAGUCAAAGGCUCAACCUUUGAAAGCCGAUGGAUACUGCGGAGCUAGAGUACGGAAGAGGCGAGUGGAAUUCCUGGUGUAGCGGUGGAAUGCGCAGAUAUCAGGAGGAACACCAAUAGCGAAGGCAGCUCGCUGGGACGUUACUGACGCUGAGGCGCGAAAGCGUGGGGAGCGAUCCGG